GUCUACAGCCAUGCCACCCUGAACAAGCCCAAUCCCAUCUGAUCUCAGAAACCAAGCAGAGUCAGGCCUGGUUAGUAUUUGGAUGGGAGACCACCUAGGAAGACCAGGUGCUGUAGGCA
rnacentral:rRNA from 1 species